GACGAACGCUGGCGGCGUGCUUAACACAUGCAAGUCGAACGGAAAGGCCCUGCUUUUGUGGGGUGCUCGAGUGGCGAACGGGUGAGUAACACGUGAGUAACCUGCCCUUGACUUUGGGAUAACUUCAGGAAACUGGGGCUAAUACCGGAUAGGAGCUCCUGCUGCAUGGGGGGGGUUGGAAAGUUUCGGCGGUUGGGGAUGGACUCGCGGCUUAUCAGCUUGUUGGUGGGGUAGUGGCUUACCAAGGCUUUGACGGGUAGCCGGCCUGAGAGGGUGACCGGCCACAUUGGGACUGAGAUCCGGCCCAGACUCCUACGGGAGGCAGCAGUGGGGAAUAUUGCACAAUGGGCGGAAGCCUGAUGCAGCAACGCCGCGUGCGGGAUGACGGCCUUCGGGUUGUAAACCGCUUUCGCCUGUGACGAAGCGUGAGUGACGGUAAUGGGUAAAGAAGCACCGGCUAACUACGUG
rnacentral:rRNA from 1 species